rnacentral:lncRNA from 10 species
AUUCACACAAAGGAGUUAGCACAAUGCCGGGCACCACCAGGCUCUGGCUGCUGUGUCCAUGUGGUUGGGAUGCUGUGGUGGGCCCAGAGCUGGAUGAGAUGCCGAGCUGGGACUCUAUCAGGUGGCUGGUCACCUUCCCUGCUGAGGGCAUCAGACCCUGAGACCUGGAGCUUUCAGCCUGACAUUUGGCACAACCUCAGAUGCAGUGAUCAUGGAGCAUUCUCUGGGAAGAUGGGCCUCAGUUGUUUCCUGCCCUAGCCUGGAAAACACAGAGAUCUCUGAAGACAGCGCAGACUGAGCUCAUCAGAGCCAUGGGGAGGAGCCAGCCCAGGUAUCAAAGAGGCCCUCCAGAAUCCUCAAUCUGUGAUAGUCCCCCACUCAGUUAUUCUCUCACAAAGCAUCUGGCUCUUCUCCUUCAGAGCACUCAUCCCAAGGGGACAUCCAGGACCUGGGGUGGUUCCAGGACGGAGGCUUCCGGCUGCCAUGGUUGCCCUGGGGUUGGCUGGAGCCAGGACCUCUCUGGAGAGGCACAGAGGGAACUUCAGGGGAAACCACAUUUACAUCCAGGUGAAAUCAGUUAGGCUGAUCAUCAAAGGGGUAGGAAGGAUCCCAGAGAGGAAAUGAGAGAUCUGGUCAUGUUGCUUAACUCCCUGGUCAGUGGCUUCUAUUGCCUUGAGGAUAAGGUCUCCAAUCCUACAGGCCCACCCCGCCUGACCAGGCAGCAUACCUGCCUUGGCAUGUGAGGGCCCCUGUGCCGUGAGCUCAGCUCCAGACCCCUCCUUGAUGCUCCUUCUGCCUCAGGGCCUUUGCACACUGUUGCUCUCCCCCGACCCUUUACCUUCUGCAACUCCUUCUCAAGCUUCAGGCCUCAGGUGAAAGUCACUCUUUGUGAGACGCCCUCCUUGACAUUCCUCCCCCAGCCCCUGUCUAGACCAGAUGAGGAUAUUUGCUCCUCCCCUUAUCGUGUAUACUCCUUCAAUUUCUCCUUCAGGGCCUACGCUCAGUUGUAACUCUUUAUUUAGUGUCUAUCAUUCCUUUUUGAAGAGGACAGUAGCCAUGUCUGCCUGAUUCGCCAUGACAUUACCAGCCCAAUGACAGGGACACAGUAGGUAUUUCUAAGUAUGUGGUAAAUGAUGGAUGGGCAUUUUGGCCCACCCAUUCUAACGGGUGCCUUGAAGAUGGCAGAAGUUACAGGGAAACAGCAUAUGGCUUUGCAUUUGGAAGAUCUUUCUAGUAGAGUUGGCCAAGAACUAAAUGAAUAUGUUGCUUUAGGGAGUAGUGAGCUCCCUGUCACUGGAGGAGUGCAAGCUGAGGCUGAGUGACUGUAUGUGGAAACACUUAAGAAGGAACCUGAGUUUCUGGUGUGGAGUGAGUAUAGACCCUGGAACAAUCUUUCCAACCUUGUGAAGAUUCCCCUUGGCCCCUGCAGUCCUGAGUCAGAGGCCCCAGCUCACAGCUCUGUCUUGAGAGCAUCUCCUCUCCUUUCUGAAGAUGGCCCUGAACUGAAUAGUGAGAGACUCUAGCCAGGUCUGCUCUGCAAGGCUGAUCAUCCAUCCUCCAGCUGCUGGGACUCUUAGCUGUGGAUGGCUCACAGCUGCAUUCUGGAGACUGCCUCCUUCUGGGUCAUAUCUGCUGCCAUGGGAGACUACAACCAAUGACAAUCUGAUAUUAGGAUAUGAAGGCCCACCCCGUGCCUCAAUUUGGGACCAUGCUGGAGGACCAUCUCAGCUGCAGAGCCCCCCCAUAGGAUGGCUGAGGCCUCAGGUCCCCAGUUUGUGAUAGUUUUGCAGCCUUUCUUUGUCUUUCAUGGUCUGGAUGAUUUUGAGGAAUGCUGGUCCGAUGUUUUGUAAAACAGCCCCCAAGUUGGAUUUCUCUGAUGUUUUCUUAUGGUUUGACUGGAGUUAUGGACAUCUGGAGGAAGAAUACCACAGAGGGGCUUUGGAGACUCUGACCCCUCAGUUAAGAUGCCACCCAGAAGCUUGCUGGUGUGCACCGGCUGAACGUCAACUCUACUUGUAACCAAAGCAAGCACUUGGAAUCAUGCUGGGAAUAUAGGUCUGCAGAGCCAAAAUCCAGUUUAGACGAAGGAUCGCAGGUUGAGACUCUGAAGGGUGGGACGGAUUUGCUCACGCAGCCAAAUCACACUGAGGCUCUUUCUGCCCGUUUCACCUUUUCCUUCUCGUUAUCAUCACCGUCAGCACCGAUCCACCUGCACUGGCUCAGGCUUCGAGGCAACAGGAUUGAAAACACAGCUUUUGUUCUGUGUCUCCAAGAAGGCUCAGCUGCUCUGAGCACCCACAGUUCCUGAUCUGGACUCCCUUGUGGUUUGUAACGCACUUGAGUCAAUGUGGGGUCAGUGUUAGGAGCAGUGGUGAUGAGAGUUAGAAUUCAGUCUGGGGCUAGGACCAACGGGCAUUCUUACAAAGUCAGGGAUCAGACUGCAUCCAGAGUCCAAUCACCAGGUAAGCACCAGCAGGUAGGUCCGGCUCACUAAAGGCUAUGGCCAAGCCUCUGGCCACAGUGAAGGAGGCCCGUGUCUGGGAGACCAAGGCAGAAGAAGAAGACCGAGAAAGCAGAACAUGUCCCUGUUUCCUCCAGCUCCCCCAGGAUGGCUGCUCUGAGCUUUCAUGAUGCUAUGGGCCCGUAGUUCAGGGGUCAGCACGCAGUGCACCAAUGGCCAGCCCUCUGGGCUUGACUCCAUGGUGGGCCCACCCUGUGGCUCUCUCUCAGGGUGCAGUGUCUUACUGUAAUAUCUAUCAACUUUGUCAUAAAUGCAUGUUCUUGGCCCAGGGGAGGGUGAGCUAUACCGAGGGGAAGGGGUCCAGCAUUAUUUUAGGGUGGAGAGUCAGCAUGUGAACACGUGUGGUCAUUGAUGCUACUGUAGACCAGGGGCGUGAAACCUGGGGCCUGAGGGUGGGCGCCGCAGGCCACUGAGGGUCCACAAACCCACCUGGAAUUGUGUGGGAUUUGUGUGUGUCCAAUUUUAUGUGGUUUUCCAUCAGAUUCUCAAAGGACCAUAACCAAAAAUUAGUUUAGAAUCCUU